rnacentral:tRNA from 1 species
AUGAUAAUUAGUUUAAGCCAAAAAAACAAAUGAUUUCGACUCAUUAGAUUAUGAUUUAUCUCAUAAUUAUC